rnacentral:rRNA from 1 species
UACGAAGGGGGCGAGCGUUGUUCGGAUUUACUGGGCGUAAAGGGCGCGUAGGCGGCCUUGUCAGUCAGGCGUGAAAGCCCCGGGCUCAACCUGGGAAUUGCGGUUGAAACUGGCGAACUAGAAUCUGGCAGAGGGGGGUGGAAUUCCACGUGUAGCAGUGAAAUGCGUAGAGAUGUGGAGGAACACCGAUGGCGAAGGCAGCCCCCUGGGCUAAGAUUGACGCUCAGGCACGAAAGCGUGGGGAGCAAACAGG